rnacentral:rRNA from 1 species
UACGAAGGGGGGCUAGCGUUGCUCGGAAUCACUGGGCGUAAAGCGCACGUAGGCGGACUCUUAAGUCGGUGGUGAAAUCCUGGAGCUCAACUCCAGAACUGCCUUCGAUACUGGGAGUCUCGAGUCCGGGAGAGGUGAGUGGAAUUCCGAGUGUAGAGGUGAAAUUCGUAGAUAUUCGGAAGAAACACCAGUGGCGAAGGCGACUCACUGGACAUGUAUUGACGCUGAGGUGCGAAAAGCGUGGGGAGCAAACAGG